rnacentral:rRNA from 1 species
GGGGAAUUUUCCGCAAUGGGCGAAAGCCUGACGGAGCAAGACCGCGUGGGGGAAGAAGGCUCUUGGGUUGUAAACCCCUUUUCUCUGGGAAGAACGCAAUGACGGUACCAGAGGAAUCAGCAUCGGCUAACUCCGUGCCAGCAGCCGCGGUAAGACGGAGGAUGCAAGCGUUAUCCGGAAUGAUUGGGCGUAAAGCGUCCGNNGGUGGCAGUUCAAGUCUGCUGUCAAAGACCGGGGCUCAACCUCGGAAAGGCAGUGGAAACUGAACAGCUAGAGUAUGGUAGGGGCAAAGGGAAUUCCUGGUGUAGCGGUGAAAUGCGUAGAGAUCAGGAAGAACAUCGGUGGCGAAGGCGCUUUGCUGGACCAUAACUGACACUCAGGGACGAAAGCUAGGGGAGCGAAUGGGAUUAGAUACCCCAGUAGUC